rnacentral:rRNA from 1 species
UACGUAGGGGCCAAGCGUUGUCCGGAAUCAUUGGGCGUAAAGGAGCGUGUGAGGCGGCCAGAGUAAGUCCGGCUGUAGAAAUCUCGAGGCUCAACUUCGAAGCUGUCGGUGAAACUGUCUGGCUUAGAGUCCGGAAGAGGAGAGUGGAAUUCCUGGUGUAGCGGUGAAAUGCGCAGAUAUCAGGAAGAACACCCGUGGCGAAGGCGGCUCGUCUGGGACGGUACUGACGCUGAGACACGAAAGCGUAGGGGAGCGAAACGGG